rnacentral:lncRNA from 1 species
GAUACGAAAAUUUAUCUUAGAAUUGGGUGUGGUUCCAAGGAUUGAACAACCAAUGCCCUUUAUUAUGAUAAUACUGAGGCAGUUGCUCAAGCCAAAGAACCAAGGUCUCAUCAUAAAUCCAAGUAUAUUCUAAGAUGGUUGCAUCUCAUUCGGGAGAUAGUCGAAUGAUGCGAUGUGAUCGUGGAGUGAGUUGACAUUAAGAA